GAGAGGAAUGAUGCGCGAUUUGCAAGAGGAGGCAUGCAUGGACUGCAGGAUGCAUUACAUCUCAUUUCUUACUUGGAGACAUCACUUUGUUGUCUACCUUUGACGAUCUGCUGCAGCUAAGCAAUGAUCUGUUCCAGCAGAUACAGCACAAUGCAUCUGGUAAACCACCAGUUUUGGAGAAAUCAGCAGCAGCCAAACGCUUCCUCCUCGAGAUAUGUGUUGCUUCGGGGUGGCAAAUUAUCAACUCCAGGGAACAAAUUCACAGUUCUGUCGUUAGUCAUCCUCUCCACGUUUCAUUCCUGUGAAGCGGUGAUCCUUUGGGUGCCUAAGGUGCACGCAACAACCCAAACAAAUAGCAAGAGAAAAAUCCGGUGCACUUCUGAGAGCGGGGGUAUUUUCCACUCUGCACUGCACACCAUUCCCGUCCCUCUCUCGGCAGAGCAGAGGCAGCUACAUGAAGUCUACAACUUCUGACUGGAAAUGGCAAGAGUUGGUCUGACGGUGCUUCUCCCUCUUUAGCUCUGGGGUGACAGUUGCCCAAAAAAAAAAAAAAUCAAAAAAAAAAAUAAAAAAAAGAAA